rnacentral:rRNA from 1 species
UAGAGUUUGAUCCUGGCUCAGGACGAACGCUGGCGGCGCGCCUAAUCCAUGCAAGUCGAGCGACGCAUUCCUUAGCCCGUAAGGGCGGGUUUGACGGAGCGGCGAACGGGUGCGUAACACGUGACCAAUCUGCCCCGAAGACCGGGAUAGCCCGGGGAAACCCGGAUUAAUACCGGAUGACCUCAUCAUCACGCAUGUGGAGAUGAGCAAGGGUUCAGGCGCUUCGGGAUGAGGUCGCGGCCCAUCAGCUUGUUGGUGAGGUAACGGCUCACCAAGGCAAUGACGGGUAGCUGGUCUGAGAGGACGAUCAGCCACACUGGAACUGAGAUACGGUCCAGACUCCUACGGGAGGCAGCAGGAGGGAAUCUUGCGCAAUGGGCGAAAGCCUGACGCAGCGACGCCGCGUGGGGGAUGAAUGCCUUAGGGUUGUAAACCCCUUUCACGAGGGAAGAAACUGACGGUACCUCGAGAAGAAGCCCCGGCCAACUACGUGCCAGCAGCCGCGGUAAUACGUAGGGGGCGAGCGUUGUCCGGAUUUAUUGGGCGUAAAGGGCUCGUAGGCGGCUUGGCAAGUCGGCCGUGAAAACCCAGAGCUCAACUCUGGGACGCCGGUCGAUACUGCCAUGGCUAGGGUCCGG